rnacentral:tRNA from 1 species
GGGGUUAUAGCUCAGUGGUAAGAGUGCAUGCUUAGCAUGCAGGAUGUCCUGGGUUCAAUCCCCAGUCCCUCCA